UUAAGCGACUAAGCGUACACGGUGGAUGCCCUGGCAGUCAGAGGCGAUGAAGGACGUGCUAAUCUGCGAUAAGCGUCGGUGAGGUGAUAUGAACCGUUAUAACCGGCGAUUUCCGAAUGGGGAAACCCAGUGUGUUUCGACACACUAUCAUUAACUGAAUCCAUAGGUUAAUGAGGCGAACCGGGGGAACUGAAACAUCUAAGUACCCCGAGGAAAAGAAAUCAACCGAGAUUCCCCCAGUAGCGGCGAGCGAACGGGGAGGAGCCCAGAGCCUGAAUCAGUGUGUGUGUUAGUGGAAGCGUCUGGAAAGGCGCGCGAUACAGGGUGACAGCCCCGUACACAAAAAUGCACAUAUUGUGAGCUCGAUGAGUAGGGCGGGACACGUGGUAUCCUGUCUGAAUAUGGGGGGACCAUCCUCCAAGGCUAAAUACUCCUGACUGACCGAUAGUGAACCAGUACCGUGAGGGAAAGGCGAAAAGAACCCCGGCGAGGGGAGUGAAAAAGAACCUGAAACCGUGUACGUACAAGCAGUGGGAGCCUCUUUAUGGGGUGACUGCGUACCUUUUGUAUAAUGGGUCAGCGACUUAUAUUCUGUAGCAAGGUUAACCGAAUAGGGGAGCCGAAGGGAAACCGAGUCUUAACUGGGCGUUAAGUUGCAGGGUAUAGACCCGAAACCCGGUGAUCUAGCCAUGGGCAGGUUGAAGGUUGGGUAACACUAACUGGAGGACCGAACCGACUAAUGUUGAAAAAUUAGCGGAUGACUUGUGGCUGGGGGUGAAAGGCCAAUCAAACCGGGAGAUAGCUGGUUCUCCCCGAAAGCUAUUUAGGUAGCGCCUCGUGAAUUCAUCUCCGGGGGUAGAGCACUGUUUCGGCAAGGGGGUCAUCCCGACUUACCAACCCGAUGCAAACUGCGAAUACCGGAGAAUGUUAUCACGGGAGACACACGGCGGGUGCUAACGUCCGUCGUGAAGAGGGAAACAACCCAGACCGCCAGCUAAGGUCCCAAAGUCAUGGUUAAGUGGGAAACGAUGUGGGAAGGCCCAGACAGCAGGAUGUUGGCUUAGAAGCAGCCAUCAUUUAAAGAAAGCGUAAUAGCUCACUGGUCGAGUCGGCCUGCGCGGAAGAUGUAACGGGGCUAAACCAUGCACCGAAGCUGCGGCAGCGACACUAUGUGUUGUUGGGUAGGGGAGCGUUCUGUAAGCCUGUGAAGGUGGCCUGUGAGGGUUGCUGGAGGUAUCAGAAGUGCGAAUGCUGACAUAAGUAACGAUAAAGCGGGUGAAAAGCCCGCUCGCCGGAAGACCAAGGGUUCCUGUCCAACGUUAAUCGGGGCAGGGUGAGUCGACCCCUAAGGCGAGGCCGAAAGGCGUAGUCGAUGGGAAACAGGUUAAUAUUCCUGUACUUGGUGUUACUGCGAAGGGGGGACGGAGAAGGCUAUGUUGGCCGGGCGACGGUUGUCCCGGUUUAAGCGUGUAGGCUGGUUUUCCAGGCAAAUCCGGAAAACCAAGGCUGAGGCGUGAUGACGAGGCACUACGGUGCUGAAGCGACAAAUGCCCUGCUUCCAGGAAAAGCCUCUAAGCAUCAGGUAACAUCAAAUCGUACCCCAAACCGACACAGGUGGUCAGGUAGAGAAUACCAAGGCGCUUGAGAGAACUCGGGUGAAGGAACUAGGCAAAAUGGUGCCGUAACUUCGGGAGAAGGCACGCUGAUAUGUAGGUGAAGCGACUUGCUCGUGGAGCUGAAAUCAGUCGAAGAUACCAGCUGGCUGCAACUGUUUAUUAAAAACACAGCACUGUGCAAACACGAAAGUGGACGUAUACGGUGUGACGCCUGCCCGGUGCCGGAAGGUUAAUUGAUGGGGUUAGCGGUAACGCGAAGCUCUUGAUCGAAGCCCCGGUAAACGGCGGCCGUAACUAUAACGGUCCUAAGGUAGCGAAAUUCCUUGUCGGGUAAGUUCCGACCUGCACGAAUGGCGUAAUGAUGGCCAGGCUGUCUCCACCCGAGACUCAGUGAAAUUGAACUCGCUGUGAAGAUGCAGUGUACCCGCGGCAAGACGGAAAGACCCCGUGAACCUUUACUAUAGCUUGACACUGAACAUUGAGCCUUGAUGUGUAGGAUAGGUGGGAGGCUUUGAAGUGUGGACGCCAGUCUGCAUGGAGCCGACCUUGAAAUACCACCCUUUAAUGUUUGAUGUUCUAACGUUGGCCCGUAAUCCGGGUUGCGGACAGUGUCUGGUGGGUAGUUUGACUGGGGCGGUCUCCUCCUAAAGAGUAACGGAGGAGCACGAAGGUUGGCUAAUCCUGGUCGGACAUCAGGAGGUUAGUGCAAUGGCAUAAGCCAGCUUGACUGCGAGCGUGACGGCGCGAGCAGGUGCGAAAGCAGGUCAUAGUGAUCCGGUGGUUCUGAAUGGAAGGGCCAUCGCUCAACGGAUAAAAGGUACUCCGGGGAUAACAGGCUGAUACCGCCCAAGAGUUCAUAUCGACGGCGGUGUUUGGCACCUCGAUGUCGGCUCAUCACAUCCUGGGGCUGAAGUAGGUCCCAAGGGUAUGGCUGUUCGCCAUUUAAAGUGGUACGCGAGCUGGGUUUAGAACGUCGUGAGACAGUUCGGUCCCUAUCUGCCGUGGGCGCUGGAGAACUGAGGGGGGCUGCUCCUAGUACGAGAGGACCGGAGUGGACGCAUCACUGGUGUUCGGGUUGUCAUGCCAAUGGCACUGCCCGGUAGCUAAAUGCGGAAGAGAUAAGUGCUGAAAGCAUCUAAGCACGAAACUUGCCCCGAGAUGAGUUCUCCCUGAGACUUAGAGUCUCCUGAAGGAACGUUGAAGACGACGACGUUGAUAGGCCGGGUGUGUAAGCGCAGCGAUGCGUUGAGCUAACCGGUACUAAUGAACCGUGAGGCUUAACCUU
rnacentral:rRNA from 1 species